UUCCCCCCCUUUUUUGCCCCCCCCCAGACUCCUCUCCUCAGAAUAAAAGAGCCAACACAACAGAAGAAGAGGUCUCAGAAGACUCCCACAGUGCCAGCACAGUGGAGCAAACGCCCAAGAAAUCCAGCCCAAGACGACAUCAAACGUAAACUGUGUAGAGUUCAUCUGCAUUUCCUCCUUCAUCGGGAUGCCCCAGUGGUGGAUGAAGCCAGGGAGAUGUAAAGGUCUAUUACAAAUUAAUAAAAAAAAAUACAUAUCGUUGAUUCUCCAUGGGAUGGAGAUCUUGUACAAGCACUGAAGAAAAAACAAAACAAAAAAACACAAAACGACAAAAAAAAACAAACAAUAACACUAAAAUUUUAGGCACUCUUAAAAGAUCUGCCUCUAAAAGCAUUGGAUGUAGCAUUGUGCAAUUAGGUGUUUCCUUAUUUGCUUCUUUGUACUACCUGUGUAUAUAGUUUUUACCUUAUGUAGCACAUAAACCUUUUUGUGGGGGGAGGGAGGGGAGGGAGUGGAAAAAGGUGAGUGACUGAAACUUGCUUUCACAAGGUAGCAAGGGGAGAACUGUAUAAAGAGAAGCAGUGUAGGCUUUUUUUAUCACUUAAAGAUGUAUUGUCCAUGUCCAACCCCUCCCCCCCUUUUUAUUUUAAUGCACCAUAAUGGUAACACUGGUUUCAGCAGGCCAUUAUAGCUUGCUUGUGAAGUUUUUACUUAUUACAUUAAGCUGAAAAAAGAGGUGGGAGCUCUGACGUUUCCGUUACGUAGCAACAAAAAGUUUAUUAUUUUAUUAAUAUUAUUCUUCCUGGAACUCCUUAAAUCCCUUGAACCAGUAGAACUACUAUAAAAUUCUUUAAAUUUGUCUCAUCUGUAGCAUUGUUUGAAUGUUCCCAAAUGAAUCGGUAGAGUUCAUACUUCAAAACCAGAAUACUGUGUUUUUCUUUUUUUUUCCUGAUCUUACCCAACUCCCUAAUAUUCCUGGUUGAAAAGGGAUACUACAUCUUUAAACAGUAUUUCUACAUUGCCUGUGUAUCUGUAUGUAAAAAUAAAAAAAAAGUUUGAAGUGUACCUGUGUACAUAACUCUGUAAAGACACUGAGAAAUUAUACUAACUUAUUUAUGUUAAAAGAUUUUUUUAAUCUAGAAAAGGAUAUUUUUCCCCAUAAAGCCAAAGUGGCAUGUUUUUGUGCAUUUGUAAAUGCUCUAUUUGGUAGAAUUUUUAGUUUUGGUUUAUUUUUUCCUUUUUCUGUUAAUUAAUAUGGCUGUGCUUAAACGAUUGCAGACUGAGCCAACUUUAAUAUUUUUUUGUAAUGCAUAAGAAAUAAAGUUGCAUAUGGAUACUGUUUCACAUCAAGCAAUCAAUAAAGAAAAGUGCCAUAUAUAAGA